CCUACGGGAGGCUGCAGUGAGGAAUAUUGGUCAAUGGACGAGAGUCUGAACCAGCCAAGUAGCGUGAAGGAUGACUGCCCUAUGGGUUGUAAACUUCUUUUAUAUGGGAAUAAAAUGUUCCACGUGUGGGAUUUUGUAUGUACCAUAUGAAUAAGGAUCGGCUAACUCCGUGCCAGCAGCCGCGGUAAUACGGAGGAUCCGAGCGUUAUCCAGAUUUAUUGGGUUUAAAGGGAGCGUAGGUGGAUUGUUAAGUCAGUUGUGAAAGUUUGCGGCUCAACCGUAAAAUUGCAGUUGAAACUGGCAGUCUUGAGUACAGUAAAGGUAGGCGGAAUUCGUGGUGUAGCGGUGAAAUGCUUAGAUAUCACGAAGAACUCCGAUUGCGAAGGCAGCUCACUGGAGUGCAACUGACACUGAGGCUCGAAGGUGUGGGUAUCGAACAGGAUUAGAUACCCGAGUAGUC
rnacentral:rRNA from 1 species